rnacentral:rRNA from 1 species
AGAGUUUGAUCCUGGCUCAGGAUGAACGCUGGCGGCGUGCUUAACACAUGCAAGUCGAACGAAGCGAUUUAGCGGAAGUUUUCGGAUGGAAGCUAGAUUGACUGAGUGGCGGACGGGUGAGUAACGCGUGGGUAACCUGCCUCACACUGGGGGACAACAGUUAGAAAUGACUGCUAAUACCGCAUAAGCGCACAGGACCGCAUGGUCUAGUGUGAAAAACUCCGGUGGUGUGAGAUGGACCCGCGUUUGAUUAGCUAGUUGGUGGGGUAACGGCCUACCAAGGCGACGAUCAAUAGCCGACCUGAGAGGGUGACCGGCCACAUUGGGACUGAGACACGGCCCAAACUCCUACGGGAGGCAGCAGUGGGGAAUAUUGCACAAUGGGGGAAACCCUGAUGCAGCGACGCCGCGUGAGUGAAGAAGUAUUUCGGUAUGUAAAGCUCUAUCAGCAGGGAAGAAAAUGACGGUACCUGACUAAGAAGCCCCGGCUAACUACGUGCCAGCAGCCGCGGUAAUACGUAGGGGGCAAGCGUUAUCCGGAUUUACUGGGUGUAAAGGGAGCGUAGACGGUAAAGCAAGUCUGAAGUGAAAGCCCGGGGCUCAACCGCGGGACUGCUUUGGAAACUGUUUAACUAGAGUGCUGGAGAGGUAAGCGGAAUUCCUAGUGUAGCGGUGAAAUGCGUAGAUAUUAGGAGGAACACCAGUGGCGAAGGCGGCUUACUGGACAGUAACUGACGUUGAGGCUCGAAAGCGUGGGGAGCAAACAGGAUUAGAUACCCUGGUAGUCCACGCCGUAAACGAUGA